rnacentral:pre_miRNA from 1 species
AUAUGAUGAUGACGGCGAUGAUGAUGAUGAUGAUGAUGAUGAUGAUGAUGAUGAUGACCAUCAUCACCAUCAUCAUCAGCUUCAACGUCAUACACU